rnacentral:lncRNA from 1 species
UUAAACCCAUGUUACAUUCAAUUAUUGUUGAUGUUUAUGUGCCAAUAGUGUAUUGUUGUGUUUGAUGUUUGUAUUAAUAGUUCAUAGGUAGUGAUCACAAUUCUAAUGAGACAAACUAUGACUUCCAUUACAGAAAUUGGGAGCUGACGGCACCAUGGAAUGGAGUGAAAAUCAAGGUGCCGGUAAAAUUCAUUACCGGUGAAUUAGACUCAGUAUACACUUCACUAAACUUGAAAGAGUAUAUACAUGGUGGAGGUUUCAAGGAAGAUGUGCCCAAUUUAGAGGAAGUGAUUGUGCAGAAAGGGGUGGCUCACUUCAAUAAUCAGGAAGCAGCAGAGGAAAUUAGCAAUCAUAUUUACGAAUUCAUCAAGAAGUUUUGAGCUGAUCUGCCAAUAAAAUAAUCAUGCGGAUGAAUGUAAUGUUACGGUUGUAGUUGAAUUAUUCAGUUGAAUUAAUGUUAUGUUAUUAUUAGUUGCAUGUGUUGUAUUUUUGCAAUAAUUGGUCACUUGUACUCCUUUGUUGAAUACAAUGACAUUCUCUGCUUUGAUUCAAUGGCUUAAUUGUUUUAUAUACAAGGCAGUUGUAGCUCACAGCUAACUAACAAAACUAACAAACUUAUACAACAUUUUUUCACCUACUUUCACUUCUAUUACAAGAAAUCAAAUAAUACUAUGCAAGGUUUUCAUCCUAAGUCAUCCCUCAAAUUAACCAAGGACUCAAGUUUUAAUGGUUUAGUGAGGAUAUCGGUCAAUUUAUCUUUGAGUAUUGCAAUGCUUCAAUUCUAUCACUUCAUCCUUGGUAAGAUCUCUUAGAAAAUAAAACCCAACACCAAACACUAAUCUGUUUACAUCUCCCAUACAUAAUGGCGUUCUUUGACAACUUGAGUGAGGAACAAUUAUCACAAAAGAUGAUUGACCAUUUCUUUUGAGGUAUCUUCAAAUGAGCCAAUAUAUUUCUUAACCAAACUCCUCGAUAGACACAUGAAGCAACAACCACAAAUUUUGUUUAUGUGAUAGGUAAUGUGAUGUUUGGUUGUUUCGUUGAGGAUCAUAAGAUUGAUCCAUAACCAAUCUUUAAAACAUAUCCUGGAGUGUUUUUUCUAUCAUCACCAUCACCUGCUUAAUUUGAGUAAGUCCAUCCCGACAAUUGUAGAACAUUUGUAUCUUUAUGUUUGUAUAUAAUGUCAAGAUUCAAUGUGCUUUGUAGGCUUGACAUGCAUUUAUGUAGCUCUCUCCAUGUUUCUAGCCACCAAGCACAAUGAAAAAUCCAUAGAGUUUGGAGAACAUCUCACAUACCUUUAGUACUCAUGAUGUGACUUCAACACUUAGUGCGAAAAUAAUUAUGUUCCCCGUUUUCAAAUCAUAUGAAGUCUUUUUGGUUUCAUCAUCAUUCCACUAUUUUGGAUGUUUAACAACACCGUCAUCGCCCUUGGAAAUAUAUGGUCCCUCGGUGACGACACACCACAAAUUUUGGUCAACCGAUAACAAGUGUACAUACAUGAUUGAUUUCCAAUAUGUAUAAUUUUCGCCUUUGAAAAUCGGUACUCUAUUAUACGCUCCCUAAGGAUCAUUAUCUUCCGACAUAUUCACAAACUUUUGGAUGUCGAUUAGGCACAAGUAAAAUACCAGCUUUUGAUUGUCAAUUGUUUGGUAUGAAUAUGGAAGUGGAAAAACGAUCUAGAGGGAGUGAAUAGACCCAAAUUAAAAAAUGCAACCGGCGUUUUCCAAAAUAAAAUUGUUCUAAAAAAUGAGUUGAGAUAUAAGGUUUGAAGUGAAAAUGAAAAUUAUACAGUUUAAUAUAAUCAAGCUAACACAAUUCGUUUCACAAAUAUCCAAGAUUAUAAUAAUGAAACGCUUGGUAUGAAUUGAUUCAAUUUGUGUAGUUAUAAGGAGUGUACACAAUUGAUCAAUAUGUAGAAUCCUAAUGUUCAAUUUGUUUCCAAAUUUAUCAAUCACAAUACUAGUUUGACUAUUUCUCCAAUUCAAACAAAACCUAAAGCUCUACGUAAUAAAUCGCUAUCAAGAACAAAACGAUAUACUACGAAGGAAUUGAAAAACCUAAGUAUGCAAUCACUACGAAUUUAAAAUGCAAGAGUAAGAGUUAGAGAGAUGACACCGAGAUUUAUAAUGCUUCGGUGUUCGUCCUCGCUUUUCCCACAUGCACUUUUCAAUGGUUUUCCAUUGGAACAUGCAUAGUUCCUUGUUUUUUGACAAAUAUUUCCAAGAGUUCAUUCAGUCACCAAUGCACAAUACAUGUGAGAAAAUAAAUCUUCUAAUUUGGAUCUUGACUUGAAUAGAAUAAACUUGUCAAACCGUUCUAUGUAAUCUUUACUCGAAUAUGUUUCUUGAAUCUUCCAAUAACACCAAUUAUGCUCCAAGCCUUCGUAUGUAGCUAUCAAUCCCUUGAUCCUACCGAUUUCUUGAGCGGUGAAAUUGUCUGAAGAUUGGAGAAGAACUUUACCUUAUCUGUAGCCUUCCACACAAUUACUACUAAAGGAAUGCUGGAGAGAAGAACCUACUUCUUUGCAAUGGAAUUUGUCACAACCAUUGGCAAUUCCUCAAUACUGCUAACAAUCUGAAAAACUAAACAAGAUCUCCAAGAAUGAUUAGUUUCAAUUACGCGUCUCCUUCAAUCAAUAUCAUAACUCUCAUUAUCAAGAUCUGAACUCAAUUGAAGUUGAAGAUUGAAAUAAUUUCGUUGCAAUACUUUGAGCACUCAAAAUAGAGGAAAUUGAUUUCCACUAAGAAUCACACUGAAAGUUAUUAAGAUAAUGAUUGGUGUUAUGUGAAGAAUGAUGACAAAAAGGUUUUAUAUGUGCUUGAGGUGAAACACACAGAAUGGUUGAAAAAAGUUAGUUAGAUUCGAAUCAAGAAAAAUAUGAUUUGGAUCAAAUGAGCAAAACGAGGUGGAGUGAAAGAAAUAACAGUUUUUUUGAAAAAAAUUGACAAUUGAUUCAGAUAAGACAAAUCACAUUUCGAAUCAAAUGCCAUGUGAUUAGAAUCAUGUUCAAAAUUUGAUUCGGAUCAAAUGACACAGAACUGAGAAGGAAUUUUGAAAAAAAAGAUUUGAUUUGAAUCAUGUUAAAAUUUUGAUUCGAAUCAAAUCAAACAUGAAUUUUGAAAAAUGAAAUUGAUUUGAAUCAUGUACAAAUAUUGAUUCAAAUCAAAUCAAACAAAAUUUGUUCCCAGGAAAAUGAUCAGGAUCAAGUGUAAAAUUUGAUAAUAAUAAAAUCACCGAGUUUAGCUUCUAUCCAAUUAGAUAAGGAUUAAUAGUUCAGUGUAAAAUUGAAUGAAUCGAAUAAAUCUUGUAAAAUCUCAAAUUUUCAAAUUUUCAAAUUUUCAAAAGUAUUUUGAGAUUUUAAUUUUGAAUCAAAGUUGAACAAAAACACAAAAUGAUUUCAUCCAGUAACAUAUGCUAUCGAUCAAAGUAUAUUUAGAUCAAGAUCAAAUCUAACCAAAGUUUUACGCAUGCUAAAAAUGAAUCAAAUCAAAUUGGAUUCCAAGAAAUGAAAUCAUGAAGGAGAUUUAACAAAUCGAAAUAAAACAAAGAUAAAAGCGAUAAGACAAACAUCAAAAUAACCGGAUAUAAAAGCCUCCCCUAAGUGAAGUAGGGACAUGCAACUACAUAAUCUUCCCUUCAAUUCCAUAUUUAACAAAAAGAGUAUGCACAUAUAGAUAUCUUUGACAACACAAAUGCAUGAAUCUAUUUGCUAUACCAAGCUCUUGCAGCUUGUAUUAGGCCAUAACAUAACUUUUCUCAACUUGUUAACCAUUUUAGAUACGCCUUUGUGAUAGCUAGUAGCUUGACUUAUAUAGAUAUCUUCGGCUCACCCACCAUGUAAGAAUUCACUUUUUACAUAAAGUUUAAAGACACACCAUGUUUGACUUGCAACGACUGCCUAAAUGAUCCUAAUGGUGUCCUACCUAGCCGCAGGUGCAAAUACUUCAUUAUAAUCGAUGCCAUGCUUACGAGAGUAUCCUUUUACCACUAAUAUAGAUUCAUGCUUCUCCACUUCUUCUAUUAGAGAGUGUGGUAAUUUCCCAAGUGUCCUUAUUCUAUAUAGAUUCUAUUUCAUGAUUCACUGCUCUUCUUCAAAUCUCAAAUUUGACAGCUUCUUCAUAGCUGGCAGGGUCUUCAUUUGAACUAAAAACUGUAAGACUAUGUUGCACUUGAUUUUUUCUCUAUUUUCCAAGAAAGUACAUAAUCAUUAACAUAUUUAGGAGGUCUUCUAAUUCUCCGAGUUGGCUCACCAGACUUAUCAUUGCUUUUUUGACUUACAUUUCCUUCUUCUUCAUGAAUGCCUUCAUUUGCAUAGCCAUCAACCCGGUCUUGUUCUUCAGUUGCAUUCUCUGCUAUACCUGAUAUUUCUUGUUGUUCAAUUUUACUUUCAUAAUCUACAUGCACUUGAGAUUCUUUAAGACCUGUUUGCUUCUUCUUGUUCCAAUCCCAACAUUUUUAUCAAACACAAUAUCUCUGCUGAUAAUUGUUCCGUCUACUGGUUCAUACAAUUUGUAGGCUUUGGAUUAUUCACUAACUCCAAUAUUCAUACAUUUAACACUUUUACCACCGAGUUUCUUUCUUUGUGUGCUAGCAACAUAAGCACGAGACACACAAUCAAGCACUCUAAAGUGAUGUACUUAUGGCUUUACUCCACUCAAUGUUUCUUCAGAAGUCAUGUUCAUGACUGCAAGGGUAAAACCUUUUGAAGAUCACAAUCGGUUGAAGUUCAUUGGUCUUCACAUGAAAUUUAAUACUGAUCACGUAAAAGGCUUUUAUUGUUGUGGUGGAAUUUCUUCUACUGGUAUUCACUAUCAAUUUGAUAGAAAAUUGAUUAAGUUUGAUGUUGAGACUUUAAGAUUGUUUUUGGACUUAAGAACAAAUGAAUGAAAGUGUUAUUAUCCAAUGCUCCCGGCUCAGACCGUGCUCAAUUCGUCAAGAUGGUCUGAAAUACUUUUAUGAAGAGUCCUCUUGACAUAGUUAAUUUUCACAUUAGUCAAAUGAAGUGCACAAUGCGGAUGUUGCACUUGGUAGUUGUUGAGGUGAUGUACAAGAAACUUAGAAACUAAGAUAGGUUUAAUAAACUAGAUCUAUAUCUCAUGUGGAUUUUCUUAGGCAAAAAGAAGUCAACUGGGUGAAAUUUAUUCUGGAUCAAAUGAACACUUGCAGGUCUACUCCAAAGCACCCUCUUUUAUGCACUUCUACCAUUUAGUUCAUGCUUAACUCCAAAAAUGUUUGUCAUGUUCCUGAUGAUAUGUUGGAAGCUCCUAAAGUUUUUGAUGAGGUACUACAAAGAUCAAGAAUGCUAGUUUUAUUUUGAUGUUCAUUGAAAGGUAUAUGAUGAUAAGUUCGUUGCAUGUGAAGAUGCUCCAGAAGGUUAUGUUCUCGGAAGGACCUCUGCUUCCUCCACUCCAUAUGCUCAUCCUUUUUCUCCUUUAGAUGCAUUGCCUCCUACAGUAAAAGCCUAUAUAUAUGUGUGUGUGUUAAUAGCAUUCAGACUUCGGCUCAUAUCAUAUAUGAGCACCUGAUUUCCCAUCUUGAUGUUGAAGCUAGAGUAAAGGAAGACCGAAUAAUUGCUAGAGAAAACCAAAUGAUUGCCUUAUUUGGAAGCAUCAAGGGAAGCCAUUGAGUCUCUUAAGGGUUCAACAUUUAACUUUGAUCUUGAUUUUGAUCCUGCCUCGGUCCAUUUCCAUCUAACCUUCCAUAGACUAUCAUAUCAUAUCAUCAUUAUCAUUUUAGGUUAUUUAUGUUUUCCCCAUCUUAUAUGACUAUUUUGAUCAUUUUUACUAUUUUUGAUACAUUUUAGAUACCGUCGUUACCCGGUUGUUUUGGAUAAUGUUUUGUAUGCCUUACUUUUUCCAUUACUAUGGUAUGGUUGAUGUUUUAUCUAUAUCGUUGUCUGUUAGUUUAACUCUUAUCUUUUCCUUUUUCUGAAAUUAAUAUCGGAGAAAUAGAGAGAAGAGUACUUUUGUUUCAAUAGAUUAUAGCGAUCUCAAUUGUAUGGAAAAAUUAGCUCGUUUAUUAGUUCAAUGCAAAAUUUGCUAUGGACUCAAUUUUAAGCAAUUUUUCCGACCCAAAAUGAAUAUUUAGAACACUGUGGCGUUGAUUGUGUGUUUACAUGUUCAAGUGUGCCAUUUCUAGCUUUAAAUUGCUUUUUUAUUAUAUGGAAUUUCGUAUAGGCUCGUAUGUCAUUUUGGAUUCAUCUUUGUGUAUCGUAUCUGUUUUUGCCUUUAUUUAUUUUUGAUAUUUGUCAAAGGGGGAGAAAGAUUGUAAUAUUAUCGUGAUAUUUAAGCAGAUUAAGUGUUUAAUAAACAUGGAGUUUUGAGAGCUCGAGACUCCAUGUGUGUAUCAUCAAUUACCGUGCGUUUUUGAAUAAGUCAGGAAUCAAUUUCAUCCCAGAUCACAAAUUACAAAUUUCAACAUUCAUUCAAAUCAAAUAACAAUAAUAUCCUAAGUUUUCCCAACAUCAAAACUUGUAUUGCAAUCGGUAUCACUAUUUUGAUGUUUUGUUAAUUAUUUAUCUUUGUGUGUUUCUAACUUUAUUUAUCGUGCUUGUAUUAUUUGUUUGUGAUUUGCGUGUAAUUUUAUACCUAAUUUGUUAGAUAUGUAUCGUAAAAGGCUUCCCCAUUUAUUCCAUUAGAUUUGGAUCCAUAUAAACGCGUCGUAGCCUUUUUACAAUUUGAUACAAGUCAAAAUAUUGAGUGUUACUUGAAUCUUAAGUUAGAAUUAUUAAAUCAAAGUUUUUGGAAGUCUUGACUCGAAUCAGACAUGUUGUAAUUCAAAUUAUGAACUUGUUUGGAAGUGAAGAAUUUGUCUCUUCCAGUCUGACUCAAAUUAGAGAAACUUGUGAUUCAAAUCAUAGUACUUCCUAAUUUGAAUUACAAUAUUGGUGUUUCGAAUCAAAGUCAUUCAAAUUUAUUUAAAACUAAGUGUGAUUCGAAUAACACAUUGCUUAACUCGAAUCACACAUCUAUACUUGAUUCAAAUCACUUGUGACAAACUUUUUCCCUUCACUACCUUUGAUCCAUUUCACUAUUUCUUUGAUCCAAAUCACAAAAACUUAUGAUUUGACUUAAAUCACAUUAUUCUUUUCUUAUCUUUUUGUGCCUUGCCUUUAAAACCUAUUUAAACCAUUUUGUUUCUCUCUUUAAAAGAUGAUGACUAUUGUCACACAAAGAUGGUGGAUCACGUGAUGAGUAAUAUCACAUGUGGUAUUCACAAUUGAGAGGAACUCCUUGAUAAGCCAUUGAAUCUUUCUGAUUUUAAAACCCAGAAAAUUAAUCUAAACCCAAUCUUACUUUGUCAAGAAUCUUGAGAGUAACCAUGAAAAUAUUUAUCCAUUCACUAACAAACUAUCCCCAAAAUUCAAUCUUGUGAGAAACCUUCUAGAAUGUUGAAAGUGUGAGAAUUAUACAACGGUGUUGUGUGAGAUCCUUUAGAUAUUAUUCAUCAUCUUUAACCUCAUACAAAGAAACCAUUGUUAUAGGUCUCAAAUCUAAAGAUUAAGUGUGAUAUGUCCAUUGAGGUAUAUUGGAUAAUGUAAUGUUUUUUGUGUGAAGUUUUGUUGUUUGUAUUAGGAUAAAGGAUCUAUUAUUAUUUACAUUAUUGAUUGGUGCUUAUUAAAAAAGAGAAUAUUUUUAAUCACACUCUAAUGAAGACUUUGAUGGAUUCGAGUAAAGGUUGCCACAGAACAAAGUGGGGAGUUGUCAUCAUUCGGUGAUAGAACAGUGACUCAGACAAGUCUUUUUCAGAUCCGAGUAAAGGAGACUGCAUAAUUGAAGCUUUGAGCAAGUCAAUGGUCUAUCAAAUAUUGUGGAUCAAGAUCAUUGAAGAUCUUGAAUGUUAGAAAUUAAGUAAUCUCCAUCAACGUAAGGAAUUCUUAUUUUAUAUCCGUGUUGGCUAAAGCAUUGGGUUGUUAGUGUUCGAGUUGAUAAUAAAGAAACAUAUGAUAUUUACGUUCACCAUGUUUUGCUUUCGAUCAUUAUCUUUUGCUUCCACGCUUUAACUUUGAUUUUGGAUAAAGUAAGUGUUUUUGUUUUUGUUUGUUUUAAGGGGAAUGAUCUAUUCAAUCCUCUUCUAGACCUUAUUGUAUCUACAUUCUCAUCUAACACUGCUUUCGUGAUAAAAUCCAUGAACAUAAUUGUCACUCCAUCUGGAAUUUGGAUGAUUUCUCCAGGCCAAUGUAUAUGUGCUUGAGAAUGGGUUAUUCUUUAAAAAAGAUUAUCAUACAAAUAUCUUCUUCUUCUAUGUACCCUCUUGAGCCUUCAAGAAGCCCAUAUGUAAUGUAUUGUAACUAUGCCAAAUCAUCAAGAUUAUGUGAAAGACUAUAAUCAUUAAUUUGUAAAUUUCUCAUGCGUUAUAAAGAGAUAUGGUAUCUCCUUGAUAAAACCCUAUAAUAUUAGCUAUUUAAUAAGUAGAACCUCUCGAGAAAGAAUUUUUUGAGUUCACCCCAAGUAGUUAUCACCCCACUUGGUUCUGUUUAUAUCCCGUUAGCUCGUUUUGUAAAGGUUAAAGUGAGAUGAUUUGAGUCCAUAACUCUGUUGCUUUAUCUUGAUUCUUCCUUAUUUUGUUAGGUGUAUAUUUUUUAGUGAAUUUAGAAUCCAUAGGCAAGAUGAAUUGAGUUUGUGUUUCUAAGUGUUGAAAAAAUCCAUGCUCUAUGUAAAUGAAAAAUUGGAUCUUAUUAUCAGAGUUGAUACACCUUAGGAUACCAAAUCUUCACCUUAUUUAUUUCCAACCAAGUCUCCCUUUCUUGGUUUCCUACGGUUGAUUGUGGUUGAUUAUUUUAAUGGUGGCCUCAAUUAACCUUGCCAAAUAUUCUUGUAAUAAUUUUUAGUGCCCGUUGUAACACCUCAAAAUUUGCCCUCCUCUUUUUGGGACUAGCUCAGCAUAUUGCAUUUCAUGUUUUAGGACAUUAGGCAUUUUCAUAUUGCAUAUCAUGUGGAAAUAAUGAAGUCAUCCUCCAAAGUCUUACUCAGGAGAUAGAGAGGUUAAGAGAUUCAUGCCUGAGGGUAUUAUUGAAUUGAUGAUCAAUCAUCUGAGGGUUGCUCUUCAAUUAGGGUUUUCUUGGUCCUUCAAGGAGUUUGAGAAUUAUCUUAUUGGCAAGGGUACAUCAUCAUCAUCAUGGUUAUGUCAUCCUCAAGGGGCUCAUUGUUCAGGCUCAAAUUCUUUGGGAUUAGGGUUUUGACCUCUGGUCAACCCUAAUCAGUUGCAUUCUACCAGUCAGGGUUCCUCAAGGAGAUGGGGUUUAUUUGCUUGGAUAAGGAUCAUAUGAUUAUUAUGUGGAGCUUACAAGAGCUAAGGGUUCAUUUUGGAGCUAAUUCCUCAAGUGGUUAAGGCUCAGGCUGAUCAGGGCAUUUCUAAGUCAUCUGUCAACCAAAAAAGUCAACAGAAAGUCAACUGAGGGCUAGGAGGUGGAGAAAUGAGUUUCAAAAUCUCAUUCAUGUUCAAAAGAGGCUUAUUAAUCAUGUCAAAUGCAUAUCUUGAAGAAUUUGAGGUCAGAUCAAAAGUUUCCAAAAAUGGAAAGUGACCUGUAAUUGAAAGUUUCCAAAAAUGGAAAGAUAAUCAUGUCAAAUGCAUAUCUUGAAGAAUUUGAGGUCAGAUCAAAAGUUUCCAAAAAUGGAAAGUGACCUGUAAUUGAAAGUUUCCAAAAAUGGAAAGUUUUUGGUUCAAAUUCAACUUGAUCUUGUAUCAUCAAAAAAGCUUUAAAUGAAAUUUUGUCCAACAUGAAAGUUGAAGAUCUCUCUCUACCAUUUCCAAAAAGUCCAAGAUCAUGAAUUUAUGAUGAAUGGUUGAGGAGAUAUGAUCAAAUCAUUGUCAAGUGUGCAUGGGACUUCAAAAUGCCAUAUCUUUUGACUCAUAACUCCAAAUUGAGUGGUUCUUUUUGCAAAAUGAUUCUCAUGACAUGAACUUUCCAAAACAUUCAUCACAUUGCAUGAAUUUCCAUCAUAUGAUCAUUUGCUAUUCCAUGCCCAUUUUGGAGGGAUUUUGAAAAUUUAAAAUUGGUGCAUCAUGGGAACUUUUUACCAUUGCCAUUGUGUUUGAAAAAUGAUUUUAAGUGAAUUAGAUCAUGCUUUGGUUACUGUUCACGUUCAUUUACUCGCCACCAUGCAAUUUUCAUAUUUUUGCAAAACACCUUAUUUUUGUUAAUUCCAAAUUAACCUUGCUUAAUUUGAUUAAGAAUGGAUUAGCACAUCAUAUAUAUACAUAAUUGUAACAGAAUUGGGAGAAUUCUAGAUCUAGAUCUCAAAAUCUUUCUUUUCCCUCCAAUUUUUUCUCUCUACCAAAAUUCAAAUUUCUUCCACAUAGCACAUUGAUUUUCUUCCAUAUUCUUGUUCACUGACCCUCAUUUAGUGUAGAUCAAGCAUUGGUUUGGAAGAUUCGAGCAGAAUUUAUGCAUAAUUCAAGGAAGAAUAUGAAGAUGGAAAGUGUUAUUUGAGCAAGAUUUAAGCUUCUCCAAGUCUCAAUUUCAACUUCAAGCUUCAUAACAGUGAUAUAGGAGUGGAUUUACACGCUUGUCAAGCCUUGGACCUGCCACUGCCAUUGUUGGAGCUUCAAGAGGUCAAAAAUUCGAACCUCCUAAUUCAUGAUUUGAUGUGCAUAGAAUUGUAGAGUUUUUCAUGCUGGUUACACUGAUAUAAAAUUUGUAAAAAAUGGAUGAAUAUUGCAUGAGAUAUGUGAGUUUAAAGUUUGUAGAUCUAGAAUGUUUUUGCUCGAAUCUCUUAAUCCAUGGCUUGUUUGGAUUAAUUGUUGAUUGAUCUAUGAUGUACAUUGAAAGAGCUUUUGAAUGAUAUAAUUAUUUCGAAAUUCUGCAAAAAAUUUGUUCGCGUGUUACUGUACAACCGCCGUCUCCACGAAGGAGACGGUUGUUUCCACCGUAGCUCCGCCCUGCCUGUACAGGCUAGGGCAUCUCUGGUUCGUUCAUGUGUUUUGCACUGUAGAAGCGCCUCUCGCAUUGAGAGCGCGCGUUCGAUCCUUCCAUUAGCAUGUGUUUUCUUAAUUCGUUUCCUUGUCACAUGCUUGUGUGUGCAUCCAGUGGACAAUCCAUUGGUCCUUGUUCUUUUGACCAGUCCACGUAGCGCUGACCUGCUGACUGGCACGCCACAUCAAUUAAUGAUGCUGUGCGUUUUGGCCAGCGCUUCUUGGAGCUCCAGGCUGCCAGUUCGAUUCCAGCUUCAUAACAUUGCCAUUUUCUCCAUUCAUUUUUAUUAUUUCUUCAUAUUUCACAUGUUGAUUUCAUUUUAUUCAUGAUACCUCAAAAAUUCAUAUAAAAUUGGAAAAUAAUCCAAAUAAUUCCUGGUUUUUUGCUACUUGUUCAUUAAAAUGUCCUCUAUUUUAUGAUGAUAAUUUCUGAAAUUGUGCAUGGCUGGAUUUUGAAUUGUGUUAGGAUAAUUGAACAUGUGUGCAUUUGGACCUUGUCUCAUUCAUCCUAUCAUAAAAUGCUUGAUAUUGAUCCAAUUGCCAUGAAAUUUUGCAUGAUUGUUCCUAACAGCUGGAUUUUGAAUUGUGUUAGGAUAAUUGAACAUGUGUGCAUUUGGACCUUGUCUCAUUCAUCCUAUCAUAAAAUGCUUGAUAUUGAUCCAAUUGCCAUGAAAUUUUGCAUGAUUGUUCCUAACAUAUUGAUGGAUGUUUGAGGCUUGAUUGUGCAUUUUUCUCAUUUGCCAUUUUUGUUUUAUGCACAUGUUUGUAUGGUGUGACAAUUUGUGUCACACUAUUGGAUGUUCAAAUUGUGCAUUUUCAUAUCCAUAUCAAAUGAGCUUCUCUGUUUAUGAUUUUUGGCAUGAUGAUUGUAUUAGACAUGUUGUGUGUUCACAAAAAUUUUCAUAAUUGUUUGAAUCAUUUCUGUUUUGAUUUUGAAUUUUCAUUCUCAAUGUCCACAUGUAUGCUUUGAAUUUGUCUUUGACUUCUCUUGCUCAUUACAUGACUUUGCCAUUUGAUUUUGAUGUGGUACUUUUUAGGACAUCUUCUUGAGUGAAUGUAGUUGCUUCAUGUUGAAUAUCAAGUUCUGUUUUGACUUUUUGCCCCACCUUUGACCCUAGCCUUUGAGCUAGUGGUUUGUUCUUAUCCUUUGGACUUUGUGUUUCAGGUUUCAAGCAAUUAGCCACAUUGGUUGAUAUGAUCUCAUCACUUGAGAUACAAGCUAUUUUGGUUGACUAACCUUGCUAUUUUGUAGGUCUUUUGGAUGGUGAAUCAAUUUAGUUUGCUUGCAUCUUAGGCCUUGCACCGUUGUUGUCUGAUGAUUGGUUGUUUGACUGUUGUUGAUUGUUUGAUUUGUCUGAAUGUAAAUAUUGACUGGUUUAGCUUUUCUUACAGGUACUUUAGCCGCUUUAACUCAUUAUUUGAGUUGCUUGUUUUGCUUGUGGUUGGCAUACCACUUAGGUAACUUCCUUGAUCUCCAUGUAGUCUGGAAGACCUGUCAUGUUAUUUUGGCAGGCACCUGUCUGAAGCCCUCCUUAAGAGGCAAUGUUUGUGCUUUAUCUUGUGUCCUGUACAUUUUAAAGACCUCCUAAGUGAAGAGGCAUUGGCAGAUAAAAGGGAUGUGCAAUCAUCCCCUGCUAUUCAGUUGUGUUCUUUCAUCUUGCUCACACCAUGUGUUGAUGCACUUUGAAUAAAAACCCAAAAUCUUGUUGUGUCAGUCAUGUGGAAUAGAGUCCCACAUUCUGGACUCCCACACCUUCUUUGAUUCAAGCUCACCCAGGCCCGGGUUAAGAGCUAUGAGGCUUAACUCUCAUCUCCAUUUCAUCUGCUCACCCUAACUCUCAAUGUUAGAGGUUAAGAGCCUGACCACCCUUUCCAGUUGGCUUGUUUGUCAAGGUCGAUAUGACCCCUUGACUAAAGCCCAACCUUGUAUGGGCCACUUGUUUGCAUAUAGCGUGUGAUACCUGUUCACCUGUGUUGCUUACUUGCUGUGUGAUUGACUUGCUGCCUGUGCGAGUUAGGUUUUGUUUAGAUACCUCAACCUAGGACUAUUGUGGAUUGCAUGACAACUUUUAGGCUCGAGUCAGUCUCCCUAUUAGUUUGUUAUUUCCCGGUCUCUAGUUAGGAAAAAGUUUCUCCCCUGUUAAGGGGAACUACGUCGCUCUGAUCCUCAUACCAGAUGAGGUACGUAGGCAGGAGAUCAUGCGAGAUCUCUCCGGGCAACCUUUUAUUUUUCGUGUGUGUUUGCCUGACAGCUAUUAGGCUCGAGUUCCAGACUCCCUAUUAGCUUGUCUGUUUGAUAACCUUUUUUGUGGGUGUUUAGGAUUUGGAUGUCAAGAACCAGGCGAUUGGCAUUCGUUCCUUCUUGUGGUGUGUUUGGAGUCUGAUGUAAGUCCAGUGAUUGGCAUUCGGUUUCCCGUUUGUUUGUUGUGUGCUUGGAGUCUGAUGUAAGUCCAGCGAUUGGCAUUCCGUUUCCUUUUCGUGUUUGUUGUGUGUGGAUUCUGAUGUAAGUCCAGCGAUUGGCAUUCGGUUUCCCGUUUGUGUUUGUGUGUUCGGAGUUGGACGUAAGACCAGCCAUUGGCAGUCUGUUUCCGUUUGUGUGUUUACUUUGACGUCUCAGCGUCUCUGUGUUGUGUUUUGUUUCGGCGUGCGUUAGCCGAACUACGGUAGCUCUGAUUCUCAUUCCAGAUGAGAUACGUAGGCAUAGGAUGCGAUAUCCUAGCAAGCCCGUUCCCCAUUUCCCCGAACUACGUUGACUCUGAUGUUUGUUUCUGACAAACUACGUAGGACCAGGAUGCGACAUCCUGCCGAGUCACCUUCCUCCUUCUUCCAUCUGUGUUUUAUUCCAGCGUGUGUGAAUUCUUUUGAGCAGUUAUUUAGCAACAUUAUUCUAUUCUUUUGAGCGUGGAUCCCGUCGAGUACGACGGACGUGAGGGGUGUUAAUACCUUCCCCUUGCGUAACCGACUCCCGAUCCUUGUAAUCUCCGGUCGUAAGACCAUUUCCUUUCCAGGUUUACUUCACCGUCGAGUACGACGGACGUGAGGGGUGUUAAUACCUUCCCCUUGCGUAACCGACUCCCGAUCCUUGUAAUCUCCGGUCGUAAGACCAUUUCCUUUCCAGGUUUACUUCGAGCGUUUCCUUUCCCUCUCUGGGAUAAAUAAUGCACGAUGGCGGCUCUGUUUGUUUGCUUUUUCCCGCCGGUUGUUUUUCGCGGAUGCGACACCCGUGACGCACAUCAAACAAAUUGGUGGUAGAGACUUUCAUGUGCUAGUCGGCAAGAAUUAGUCGAUAAAUUUUCUAGAUAGAUUCUAAUAGCUGAUCACAGAGAACUUGGGAAGGUUCAUGUACUAGAGCAUGGAUGCUUCCUUCAAUAUCCUUGUCAAAAACUUACACUUGAGGGAAUCCGUCGCACCAAUUACCGUCAAUUGCAUGUUGAUGGAAAUAACAUGCUCCAACACAUCACUCUUCCAAUCAAAUGUUAUCAAGGAAAGUGACUUCAAAUAGUAUAGGAUAAGGGUUUCCCAGAUCUCUGACUUGAAGUAGUAUAGGAUAAGGGUUUCCCAGAUCUCGGCAGAGAGGGGUUAAGGAUCCGUUCUUUUGAAUAGUCAGUUAUUUAGAGCUUUCAUUGCAUUUUACUGUCUUUUAAUGCCAUGUCCCUCCCUUAUCCAGGAGUUGGACGCACGAAAUUCAUGGUCUUUACUAACUACGACAAUUAUAACUAUUAUGUCUUCAUGCAAUUAUUAUCAUGUUUUGUUAAUUAGGUAUUUAGUCCCACAUCAUCAGAUAAGUCGUCACAUGACUCAUGAUUGAGUCAACUCCAUAUGCGUAGAGUUUGAAUUGAUUUUGUGCAGUGAUUGAAGGAUUGAUGGUUUGUGAGAAGAUGUUAGGUGCACUGAUAAAUACUAGAGUUCGAGGAACUAGGGGCCUCCAGAAAUAACAAAGAGAAAGAGAAUUUGGAUAAAAUCUUGCUUAUUUUAUUCAUUCCUUACAUGUCAAUACAUAGAAUAGUUUUAGGAUAGCAAACACGGAAAUAAUGGAAUACAAAAUAAGGAAGAUCUAGAGAAUAUUGCUGCAAGAUUUAGGUGAGCCACUGAUAAGCUGCCACCUCAUUUCCUCCUAACUGAAUUUGUUGAUUUAUCAUGUGAUGAAAUUUUCUAGAUACUUUGGCAUGUGGACUUGUCUCUUGGGCCUUCCCAUUGCAACAUCAUGGGCCACUUCCACUGUGUUUUCUUCAGCCCAUUUGCUAUCAUUCUCCACCCCAUCUGGAAGCACAUUGUCCUCAAGGUGGUAUGCUUGUUUGAGAUUGUCCCAAUCUUCCCAAGAAGUAUCAUCAGCAUGCAGUCCUUCCCAUUGCACGAGCACUUAGAGUGAGGCUCAGCCGUUUGAGUCCAGCGGGUGUUGAGUAUCACUAGAGGAGUGAUGAUGGGUUGAUUAUCUAAUGCUGAUGGAGGUAAUGUCGCUGUUGGAAUUGGGGAAGAAGAGUCUUUGUGAAAAGGUUUCAACAUGGAGCAGUGAAAAACCAGAUGAAUUUUGGAUCCUUGUGGCAAGAGGAGUUUGUAAGCAACACUUCCCACCUUCUCCGGAAUUUGAAAUGGACCGUAAAAACGUUUGCUGAAUUUCGAAUAAAGAGUGACAGUGACGGAAAUCUGUCGAUGUGGUCGUAAUUUAACCAUCACCCAAUCUCCGAUAUUGUAUUGCACAUCCCGUCUAUGUGCAUCAACAAAUUUCUUCAUAUCUUGUUGUGCCUUGGUCAGUUUUCUGCGCAGAGAAAUCAGCAUAGUCUCACGAUUAGCCAACAAUUCAUCAACAACUUCAAUAGUGGAGGUGCCUACCAAAUAUUGCGGAAUGAUGGGUGGUGUUUUCCCAAAAGUAAUCUCAAAGGGAGAUUUUCCAGUGCCUGAGUGUUGAGACGUGUUGUAAGACCAUUCAGCCCACACGAGAAACUUGCCCUAAGUUGCCGGUUUCGAGUGUACAAACGCACGGAGAUACUGCUCAAUGAUCCUAUUUGCCACUUCUGUCUGGCCAUCAGUCUGAGGGUGGUAGGACGAACUCAUACGUAACUUAGUGCCGCUGAGUCUGAACAGCUCUUGCCAGAAUCGACUCACAAAUAAUGGAUCGCGGUCUGAAACCAAGCUACGAGGCAUACCGUGGAUCUUGCCAACAAUGUCCAUAAAGAGUAAGGCAACCUUGUAAGCAGUAUAGUGAGGUUGCAACAUACCAAGAUGAAUGCCUUAGGAAAAAUGGUCAACGACCACUAGGAUUGUGGUGUUCCCUUUGUAAGGAGGUAAACCCACGAUAAAGUCAAGAGAUAAGUCUUCCCAAGGCGCAUGAGGAAUUGGCAAUGGACAGAGCAAUCCAACAACUUUCUUUGUUUCAUAUUUGGAGUGUUGACAGUCCAGACAAGCGAGAACAAACUUAUGGACAUCAUCACGCAUCCUGACCCAUGUAAAGUUUGAGCUUAAGCGUGCCAAAGCCUUGGUGACACCCAUAUGGCCUCCGAUGGGUGUUUUAUGGAAUUCCUCCAACAGAACCUUUAUGAAGGAAGUGGUGCGUGGCAACCAAAUGCGAUCUUUGUGGUAUAUAAGACCCGAAACAAUUUUGAAAUCUUGUGCCCCCUCAGUGUUAUUGGUAAUGUCUUGCAGUUUGGAGAGAAAUUCAUGUUGCUAGGAGAGUUCAUGCUUUAAUGUUUUCAGGAAGGAGAAACUGAGGAUUGACAACAUGUAGAACUCAGGGGACUCAUUUUCUGGUAUGCGAGAAAGGGCAUCUGCAACCACAUUCAUUUUUCCGGAACGAUACUGAAUCGUGUAAUCAUAACCAAUCAACCGUGACAAGUACAACUGCUGUUUUGGCGUUUGUACCACUUGUGACAUCAAUUCCUUUAAGCUGCGGUGAUCUGUCAGAAUCACAAAGGAGUGGCCCAACAAAUAUUGUCGCCAUUUCUUCACUACUGCUGUGAUGGCAAAGAGUUCUCUGACAUAUGUAGACGCGUUCAACAACUUGCGACAAAAUGGUUUGCUAAAGAAAGCAAUUGGUUGGUUCUGUUGAGAUAACACAAUACCCAUGCCGACACCGGAGGCAUCCAUUUCAGAAUUCCAGCCAAAUUGAUCCUUUUUGAGGAGUUGAGUUAAUGGAGCUGCAAUUGUCGCAUAUCCCUUGAUGAGUCGUCGGUAGAAACCUGUCAAACCCAAGAAACCACAAAGAGCUUUGAGAGUGCUUGGUACUGGCCACUGUUGAAUCGCAAGAACCUUCGCUUUAACUGGUUCAACCCCAUGUUGGGAAACAAUGUGACCAAGGUAUUCAAUUUGACGUUGAGUGAACAAGCAUUUUGAUUGCUUGAGAAAAAAUUAUCCCUCCUGUAAAACCUGAAAUGCUUGAUCCAUAUGGUUCAAGUGGUCCUCAUAAUUAGUGCUGUAAAUUAGAAUAUCAUCAAAGAACAUAAUGAUAAACUUGCGCAGAAAUGGCUUGAAUAUCGUGUUCAUGGUAGCUUGAAAUGUCGAUGGCGCAUUGCACAGUCCAAACGGCAUAACCCGAAACUCAUAGUGACCCUGAUGUGUCCGAAAGGCGGUUUUAAAAACAUCUUCCUCCCGCAUAAGGAUCUGAUGAUACCCCUGUAGCAAAUCCAAUUUUGUGAACCACGUAGCCCCACCCAACUCGUCUAACAAUUCAUCAACAGUGGGGAUGGGAAAUCGAUCCUUUAUAGUGAUUGAAUUCAAGGCCCGAUAGUCGACACAAAAUCUCCAAGACCCGUCUUUCUUCUUAACAAGGAGAACCGGCGACGAAAAAGGACUUGUACUCGGUUGUAUCACCCCAUUAGCUAGCAUAGUGUCCACUUGUUUCUCAAUUUCGUGUUUCUGAAAAUAGGGAUAACGAUAGGGACAAACAUUAACAGGAUGGGCCUGGGGUAGUAAGUGUAUGGAGUGGUUGGUCUCAUGAGCAGGUGGAAGGUUUGACGGUAUCUGAAAUAAGGAGUCAUAUUUGUGGAGUAGUGUUUGGACUUUAGGGUCACUGAUUUGGGUUGAAGGGGGCUCUGGUUGUAGAACUUGGAUAUGAAAGAAGGCACUAGCUCUUUUAGUGUGGAGGAGGCGUCACACCUGUUGGGCAAUAAUGAGGUGAAGUCCACCAACUCUCUCACCCCUUAGUUCUAUCAUCUUACCAUUCUUGAGAAACUUCAUAGAGAGAUCAUUAUAGUCAGUAAGAAUCGGACCCAAAGAUUUUAUCCAUUGAACACCUAACACAAUAUCAGCACCACUGAGGGAAAGGACGUGUAGGUCAACGGUGAAUGUGUGAGACUGAAUGUGAAUUUUUACUUGAGGGCAAAUUUGGUGGCACUCAAUUUCAUUGCCAUUACCUACCAUGACCUUGAGAGAGCAAGUGGGUUAGGCCUUCAGCCCAAGAUAUUUAACCAACCUUUCUUGGAUAAAGUUAUGGGUAUUGCCCCCAUCAACUAGGAUAACUGCAUUGGGGGUGGAGAUGCGGCCCACCAGACGUAGAGUUUUAGGGGCCAAGUGGCCCGAAAGGGCAUGGAAACUGAUUUGGGCUUGAUUAAGGGUCGGGUCGGGUUCCGGUUCAAGUAACAACCCAGAUUCACAAGGAUUCAGAAUCAUAUUUGUUUCUUGGGGCUCAUCUUCUUCCAUAAUAAGGACAAUAAAUUUUGAUGCACAUUUGUGACAUAGACUAAACUUCUCAUCACAGUUAAAACACAAACCCUUCUCACGACGGAGAGACAUCUCCGUAGGUGUCAGUCGUUUCAAAUGUGGUACUGGUGGUUUGGGGUUGUUUGGAAAACGGUUAUGUGACGCAGCAGGGGUAGGAAGUAUACCUUUAUUGCGAGCAAACCUGUGAGCUUCAUGGAGUUUCUCUUCCUGCAACCUGGCCAAAGCAGCAACUUGGAUAAGUGAUAGUGGUUGUAACGCCUGAACCUCGCGGCGAACGUCCGGUGCAAGCCCUGAGAUGAAGCAACUUAAGAGAAAGCUCGGUGGGAGACCCACAAUACGAUUUGCAAGCGUCUCAAAUUCUGUUAAAUAUUCGUUGACCGACCCUUUCUGAGUGAGUUUGAACAAUGCGCCAUUGGGAUCGUCGUACUGUGACGAUGCGAAAUGGGCCUCGAGUGCGUGCAGUAACGCCGUCCAACUGGUAAACUGGCCGUUGCGAGACAUCCAUUGAAACCAUCCGAGAUCCGACCCUUCCAUGUAGAAGGAUGCAACUGUCAGUCGUUCUACUUCCGGCGUAUCGUGAUACUAAAAAAAUUGGUUGAUCUUGAAGAUCCAACCCAAAGCAUUUGUUCCAUUGAAGCGAGGCACGUCAAGCUUCAUACGGUGAGGUUUAUUGGAGUUUUGGGGUGAGGUGUAGAACGGAGAUCCGUUACCGGGGGAGUGAGAUGACGUGUCGAGGGAGGAGAGUUUGCCGAGAAUGUCAUCAAUUUUGGAAGAGAAGUUUGAUUGGUGGUUAAACGGGAGAUAGCUCCGUCGAUAACUUUCGAUCGAGUGCCGUCAGCCAUGGAUGAGGUUCAAUGAAAGCACCAAAUUUGUUAGGUGCAAUGAUAAAUCCUAGAGUUCGAGGAACUAGGGGCCUUCAGAAAUAACAGAGAGAAAGAGAAUUUGGAUAAAAUACUGCUUAUUUCAUUCAUUCCUUACAUGUCAAUAUAUAGAAUAGUUUUAGGAUAGCAAACGCGGAAAUAACGGAAUACAAAAUAAGGAAGAUCUAGAGAAUAUUGCUGCAAGGUUUAGGUGAGCCACUGAUAAGCUGCCACCUCAUUUCCUCCUAACUGAAUUUGUUGAUUUAUCAUGUGAUGAAAUCUUCUAGAUACUUUGGCAUGUGGACUUCUCUCUUGGGCCUUCCCAUUGCAACAACCUAACUGAAUUUGUUGAUUUAUCAUGUGAUGAAAUCUUCUAGAUACUUUGGCAUGUGGACUUCUCUCUUGGGCCUUCCCAUUGCAACAUCAUGGGCCACUUCCACUGUGUUUUCUUCAGCCCAUUUUCUAUCAGAAGAAAUCUAGAGCGAUUGAGUUUCAACACCGUGGUUGCAGCGAUGAAGAAAUAGAGGGAACGAACUCCAUUUUGCUGCGAACUACUUGGUUCCAUGGCGAAGAGAUCGGAAGCCGACUCGAUUGGAGGUUGUCGGAGGAAUGACGAGGAAUUUCGUUAUUGAUCAUGGACAUUGAUGACUACGAAGGUAAGUAAUAAUUCUCCGACGAUGAGAUAAUCGAUGUUAAUGGAGAAGAUUGAUUUGAAUAGUGUGUUUUGUGAGGUUGCGAAGGUGUGAAAUGAAAUAUGGUAGAUUAGCGUUCCAAAAUUUGUACGAUCUAAUUGCAAGGAAAUGAGAAUAAGAAAGAAGAAUAACUUUUGUUUUGUUUUUGUGCGUGCAAAAUUUUGAGAUUGAGGGUUUUUGUAGAGAAAUUUUGAGCUAUUGAAUAAUUGAAGUGCGAAGAGAAAUGUGAGAGUUUGGGAAGGAAAAAUUUGGAGUGAUUGAAGUGGUUUGUUUUUUUAUUAAUUUUUAUAUAAGUUUAUUUUGUUUAUUUUUUUACUUGUCAUUAUAAAGUGAAAUUGAGUGCUUUGAUGAAAAUUUAGCAUCUUUUAUUUCAAAUCAUAUACCAAUGGUUGACUUAUAAUUUCACUACUAUAUAUACCAACACUUUUUUUAUGAAAAAUUACUUCUAGUGGUAGUUUUGUGACCACUCCCCCUCAAUGCAUCAUUGCGGCAUAUUCGGGGUAACUUAGAUCGGAUUCACACCCGUCCAUAUUGAUAUUAUUUGUAUCAAUUAAUUGUAUUUUAAAAAAUUAAUUAAACUAAUUAUUUUUUAAAAGAUAGUCCAUGGUCUAAAUGUUUUAUAUAAUUUGAGACGAACAUAGAAUCAUCUAAGCAACUUUUAAAAUGAUAUAUUUUCUCUUUAUAUUUAUAUUUUCCGACGUUCAAACGGAUACACAUCUGUCCGCUUUUUUUAAUGUGUCCAGUAGAGAAAAAUAAAUAUAUUUUUUUAUGAGUUUUUUUUUAUUGUAGGCCGCAUUAAAAAUAAUAUUAUUACACUUUGAAAAUAGUAAACAAAAAUAUUCAAAAUUAUAUCGAAGUAUGCAAAGUAAUAUUAAUAAUGUGUAAUCAAUGUCGUUCUUUAAGAGCAAUGUCGAACAUGAAAUCUCUAUUCGAAGUAUUCUCUUUUUCCCUGCAAUUAUUUUCCGUAGUAAAGAAAAAAUAUAAGACUCUUAAAUUUGAAUUUUUUAGAGAAAAAGAUAGUAAAAUUAAUAGUAAGUAGUGUAAUCAAGUUUUUUUUACCUUAUAAAGAUUCGAAUUAAUUCUUCGUACAUCCCUUUAUCAAUGCGCUCUUGAGAUUUAAAAAACGACAAAUAUAUGACAAAUGUCAUAUCAUCAAAGAAAUACAUUCAAAACAUUUGACUCGUUUGAAUAUAAUAUGGUUUAUUGUGACACAAAUAAUACCUGGAGAAUGAAGAUACUUUGUUUUAGUCUAGAUUUGGUAGAACAACAACUAUGACUUGUUUCUGAAUUACUUGGAUUUCUGUUAAAUAAGGAAAACAAUGAACUUAGUAAAUAUAUAUGGUUUUAUUUACAUAAACCACAAUAGAAGUUAAAUUCAUGCAUUCAAAAAUAUUUUUAAAUGAAUUAAAUAAAAACCUCUCCAUCAUUUGAGAUAUUAUUUCUCUUUUCACCAUUUUCCAAAGUUGUGUUUUAUCUAUUAUCACCUUGGAGCUCCAACCGACAGAGUAAAUUUUCGGACGUUUGACCUAUUUCAAUAAGGAUGAUAAAAAUGUUAGUGAAAGAGUGGUGAAAAUUCAAGAACCCAUUUUUUAUACGUAUUGCGGAAAAGGUAAAUACACCUUAUUGUUGAGUUUGCUGAUGAAUGAAAUACUUUGUUCAUCCUUCCAUGUGUUCCAUUUAUCUUCAAAGUCUUCUAUCUAAAAUUUAUUCACUACAACAAACAAGACCUUAGACAGCGCUUUUUUUAGCCUUAGACAGCGUUUUAAAGCGCUGUCUAAACCUCCGCUGCUAAAGGUUUAGACAGCGUUUUUUUAAAUCUUCUUCCUUUCUUUAAAGCGUUUUUUUAGACAGCGUUUUUUUAAACCAUGGUCAUUACAGCAUUACUAUCUCUCUUCUUCCUUUCUUUAUGUUCUAAAAGAGCUUGAGUAAGUGACAUGUUGCUUACAGUAUCUCCGCUGAUAAGAACAAAAUCUCCUUGUAUCUUCAAAAUAACAAAUUAAACAAAAGUGUUACUACACGAAACUUGGUCCCAGUGAAUUAGUAAAAGGGUGUAAAAUAAGUACAUUAAUAAUCAGUUUGAUGUGUAAGCAGUAGUAAAUAUUUAUAAUAAUGCACAUAGUUAUAAAAACAGAACUACAACCAUAUAAGCUUCUGAUUUUGUUCUUUGUUCCAUUAAAGAAGCUCUACAACUGAGCAUGCAUCUUACAGCUAUGCAACUAAUAAUAAUAAUAAUAAUAAUAAAANGACAGCGCUUUCAUUAUUUUUUUAGAACAUUUUCCGUGUUUUAUUUUUAUUUUAACCUUAGACAGCACUUUCUUUUAAAAGCGCUGUCUAAGAUGCGCUGUUAAAAAACCUUUUUGGCGUAGUGAUUGCAUAAGAAUAGUGAGAAUAAGUAUCACCCAAUUGAUAUAUAACAUAAAAGCAUAAAAUAAAUGAUUAAGUAUAACUUACUUUUAUGUCGGAGCAAGUUUCAAUAUUCUUUCGUCUCAACUCCUUACAUAAUUGAAAGAUUUCACCAUGUUCUAGUUUGGUUGUUGUCGCACCUCAAAAAAUGUGAUUCCUCGCGAUGGUCGCGGAAAAUAUUUAGUGUUCAAACAGAGUCGCCACCGAACUUUAUUUAUCCCAAUGAAGGGAUAGGGAAAUAUUGAUAAAACCUUUAGGAAAUUGAAUAAUGGUCAUCGCAACCAUAUUCGGGUUCGGGAUUGGAUUACAUAAGGGGAAUAUAUUAGCACCCCUUACGUCCGUUGUACUCAACGGGAACCUUUUAGUUCUAAUAUGUGUUUCGAGUGUUAAUUUAUGUUUGUUUGUUAUCUUUGGGUUAUUAAAUAUUAGAAAUUGAAAUGGAUGAGAACCUCAGAAAGGGAAAGGGGAGGUUUUUUAUUAGUGUGCUCGCGAAGAUACAACAAUCUCCUGCCUACGUAUCCUUAUGGUAUAAUAAGGAAAUCAGAGCAUUCGUAGUUCGAGGAACUACGGUUGGUUGGUGUUUUUUUAAUGAACAACUGUUUGGAUCGCAUCCUAAAGGCUAAAUGUUGGCUUGUCUACUCUCGACGGAGGCUUAAACAUUGGUUUGUUGUGCGCAUUAGAAAGGAUUAACAGUGUUCUUUCUGAAAAGAGUUUCAGUCACACGGGGGUGACAAGCUGGAUUAAUAUGUUGGAUAUCUUGUUUAACUAGUUUCGAUCGCACGAGGGCGAGGACAGAUAAAUUUGAUGUGUUGAGACAUUUUGGUUGGAUGAUGAUUACUCGGAUAGUCGAGUAAGACAACUCGUAUCCUAAUAGUCGGGAAAGGGAAUAGAAGACUCUAGACACUACGCCAAAAAUGACUUUUAACAGCGCAUCUUAGACAGCGCUUUUAAAAGAAAGCGCUGUCUAAGGUUAAAAUUAAAAUAAAACACGGAAAAUGUUCCAAAAAAAUAAUGAAAGCGCUGUCUAAGGGGGGGUCUUAGACAGCGCUUUCUAAAAGCGCUGUCUAAGACCCCCCCUUAGACAGCGCUUUUAGAAAGCGCUUUUAAAUAUAGACCUUAGUCAGCGCUUUUGAUAAAGCGCUGUCUAAAGUCUUUAAAUUAAAAAAAAAAUUAAAACCAAAAGCGCUGUCUAAGGGGGGGUUUAGAAAGCGCUGUCUAAGGCAUACCUUAGAAAGCGCUUUCCACAAAAGCGCUGUCUAAGGUCUAAUUAAAAGCUCCUAAUCAGGUAAACCCACACUUUCCACUGCACCACAAGCUCCGACUAUAAUAAAACCCUAAAACGCCCAUUUUCGGGAGUCUUGAGAUUUGGCCGAAUUCUGCUUCUGCUGCUGCCGUGAAGAUGGUGAAAGGACGUCAAGGCGAGCGUGUUAGGUACUCUCUUCAUUUCUUGUUAUGGACUUUCUCGCUCUGGUUUACGUUUUCCUGCACUCGUAGCUUUUGACCUGAUACGAUACCGAAGCUUAAUAUUUUUUUCUGCUAUUUGUUUUGUUUGUUGCUUUUAUAUAAUUUUCGUCCAUGUUUUCGAAGUCUGAUGUUCUGGUUUAGUGAGUAUGAUUGAUGAUUGAUUUAAGUAGGUUAUAGCUACUGUUUUAACCGCGAGAAUUUUUGUGAUGUUUUUAUCAUUGAAAGAUAUCUGAUUUGGAGAAAUUAGCAAACAGUUUAGAGGGAUUUGAAUGAUUUUAGUUCUAGUUUAUAGCCAAUAAGCUUAAUCUUUUGUUUAGAAAAAACGUGGAAACUAUACUUUCAAAUUGGUCUUCUGAAAUCUCCAAUGACAGUAAAAUUAGCUUUUUUUACGGUAAUGUCCAAUGCUAAGCUUCUGUUGUGAAUAAAAUAUUGAAUAAUCUUACUGAGAUAGCGUCUUUUAAUGUUUCCACGAACAUGUAUGCUACUGGAAAAGUAGCUUUCGAAGAUAAGACAGUAUAUGCUUUAGUGCAGUGUACAAGAGAUUUAUCAGCCAAUGAUUGCAGUAUGUGUCUGCAAAGUGCUAUUGGAGAUAUACCAGGUUGUUGCUAUGCCUCCAUUGGUGCACGAGUUUGGAGUCGUAGCUGUUAUUUAAGAUAUGAGUUUUAUCCAUUUUAUCUCGGUGAAACAGAAUCCACAAGUUCUUCAACUAACCAAGGAGGGAAAAGUAAGCAUUUCUUAAGUUUCAACACUGUUCUUUAACAUUCUGUCAAAACCUGUUUUGAUUGAUUUUUUAUGCAGAUAAAUCAAGCAAAAUAUGGAUGAUUACUGCUAUUGCAGUUGGGGUAGUCUUGGUGAUAAUAAUUAUCAUUUUCUACUUAUGCUUUAUCAGAAAUUGGCAAAGUAAGUUGUUUGAUUUAUCAUCUUUUAUCAAGCCCUCAAGCUUAUUUUUUCUUUGAGAUGAAUCUUCAUCUUUUUUAUCCUGUGUUUUGUAACAGUUCUAAUUCAUUUGUUUCUUGUAAUUAGGAAAGAACGGACAAGGUAAUAUAUCUAAUGAUUUCCCUUUUAUUGAUAUUGGUUCUCUUUGCGUGGCUACCAAAAACUUCUCCGAUUCAAAUAAGCUCGGGCAAGGUGGAUUUGGUCCUGUUUACAAGGUAUAUAGAAUUCAAGUUUAUUCACAUUUUUUGUAUGAACGAUUAUCAUCGUAUGGAAGUUUUGUUUCUUUAUUUGCAGGGUAUACUUAGUGAUGGCAUGGAAGUGGCAAUCAAGAGGCUCUCAACUUGUUCUGAGCAGGGUUCAGAAGAAUUCAUUAAUGAGGUUAUGUUGAUAUUGAAACUUCAACACAAAAAUCUUGUAAAGCUUCUAGGAUUUUGUGUCGAUGGAGAAGAGAAGCUUCUUGUUUAUGAAUAUUUGCCCAAUGGUAGCCUUGAUGUCGUCCUUUUUGGUACGUAGUAUAUUCCAAUUUUCACCGUUUUUUAGGAUUAUAUUUAUCAAAUUCGGUACUCAUGUGUUUACAACACUCACAUACGUUGCGCAUCAACCAACUGCGCUAGACCCUAAUGUUUCUUACAUUUCUGUUGAUCCAGAGAAAAGUGCACAUCUUGAUUGGACCAAACGAGUUGAUAUAAUAAAUGGAAUAGCAAGAGGCGUUCUCUAUCUUCAUGAAGAUUCUAGACUUCAAAUAAUACAUAGAGAUCUAAAAGCAAGUAACAUAUUGUUGGACUGUGACAUGAAUCCAAAGAUUUCAGACUUUGGCAUGGCAAGGAUAUUUGCAGGAAGUGAAGGCGAAGCUAACACUACCACAAUAGUUGGCACAUAGUAAGCACUUAGUUCCUUGCAUCAACAUUUUUUUCAUUCCAUAUGUUUACAUGCUUAACAAUUAUAUUUUGCAGUGGAUAUAUAGCUCCAGAAUAUGCAAUGGAGGGUCUAUAUUCCAUAAAAUCCGAAGUUUUCGGCUUUGGAGUACUAUUGCUUGAGAUCAUUACAGGUAUUAUUAUUUUUUAUAGAAACCAUAGAUAAAAUAAAAGUAUAGAAAACGUGAAAAUGUCGAUUACAUCAAGAACAACUAACUAAUGCAACUAACUUUUACAUCUAAUAACAGGUAAACGUAACGCAGGUUUCUGUUACUCCAAAAGCACUUCUAGUCUACUAGCUUAUGUAUGUGUCCAUAAAUUUGUUUGUUCAUGAUAAAGCUCAAUGUUAAAGCUCAAUGUUUGUUCAUAAAUUUGUGUAAUUAAUGUGUACAUUUGUAGUAUAUGUUAUGACUUGUAAAUGUGUACAUAAAUUUGUAUAUAUUUUGAUACAUUUAAGGCAAAAUUGGUUUGAAUUGGUAUAUAUAUAUAUUUGUUAGCCAAAAAUUGGUAGAAAAAAGGCCAAAAUGGCAUAUAUAAAAUGUGAUAAUUGUCUGUCAAAAUCUGGUUGAAAACAGGUAGAAAUUCUGGUUUAUAAACCUGGAAAAAAUGUGGUUUAAAACAAAAGCUUCAAAAAUUUUCGUAUACCUUAGACAGCGCUUUUGUAAAAAGCGCUGUCUAAGGGGGGGAUUAGAAAGCGCUUUAGGCAAAAGCGCUGUCUAAGGGGGGGGCUUAGACAGCGCUUUUUGAAAAGCGCUGUCUAAGGUAUACCUAAAAAAAUUAAAAUAGGAGGGUCUUAGAAAGCGCUUUUGGCCAAAGCGCUGUCUAAGGGGGUGGGGCUUAGACAGCGCUUUUCAAAAGCGCUGUCUAAGGUAUACCUAAAAAAUUUAAAAUAAGAGGGUCUUAUAAAGCGCUUUUGGCCAAAGCGCUGUCUAAGGGGGGGGGGGUCUUAGACAGCGCUUUUAAGAUUUAAAAAAGCGCUGUCUAAACCUUUAGCAGCGGAGGUUUAGACAGCGCUUUAAAGCGCUGUCUAAGGCUAAAAAAAGCGCUGUCUAAGGUCUUGUUUGUUGUAGUGAGACCACUUUCUUUUUCAUUCUUAAUUAUAGAAAGGAUUUGAUAAUAGUUAAAGUGUUUUGAACGGAUGACGAAUACUCGGAUAAUCGAGUAAGACAACUCGUAUCUUAAUAAUCGGGAAAGGGAGUAGAAGACUCUAGACCGCUUUCUUUUUCAUCUGAGUGGUUAUGAAAAUAAGUUUACGUAUGGUUGAUGUAUUUUUAGAAUAGACGACAAGCACUUGAAUGGCUGAGUAAGACAACUCGUAUCCUAACAGUCGGAAAGGGAAUAGAAGACUCUAGACCGCUUUCUUUUUUAUCCUUAAUUACAGAAAGGAUUUGAUAAUAAUUAAGGUGUUUUGAAUGGAUGACGAAUACUCGGAUAAUCGAGUAAGACAACUCGUAUCCUAAUAAUCGGGAAAGGGAGUAGAAGACUCUAGACCGCUUUCUUUUUCAUCCGAGUGGUUAUGAAAAUAAGUUUACGUAUGGUUGAUGUAUUUUUAGAAUAGACGACAAGUACUUGAAUGGCUGAGUAAGACAACUCAUAUCCAAGCAUUUGAGAAGAGGAAUUGAAAACUCAAGACCACCUCCCUUUUCGUACAGUUUAUUAUGAAAGUUAUUUGACUUACAAUAUGAGUUAGCAGAAAAAUGACAAUAGUUCGACUGACCGAGUAAGAGAACUCGUAUUCAAACAAUUGAGGAGAGAAGUUGAAAACUCAAAGUCAUCUCCCUUUUCAUUUAGCUUAUUAUGAAAAUAAUUUGAUUUAAUCAGGUUUAGAAGUUUGUAGAGGAACGACAAUUAUUUGACUAACCAAGUAAGAGAACUUGUAUUCAAAUAGUCGUGGAGAAAAAAUUGAAGACUCAAAGUUAUCUCCCUUUUAGUUUCUUGUUAUAAAAGGAUUUGAUUUGUUUGUGCUUAAAUGGAUUAGAAAUGACGACUAUUUGACUAACCGAGUAAGAAAACUCGUAUUCAAAUAAUCGAGGAGAGGAGUUGAAAACUCAAAACCAUCCCCCUUUUCAUUUUCAAAUGAAGUGUUGUUUAAAUGUGAUUAAGUAUUUUAAUUUAACUUUUAUAAAGAAUAUUCGAUGUCGGAUCGAGGUUUUAAAAUUUGCAUUUUUGUGAAUGAAUUGAAUUUAUUUAGUGGAUAAUCCAUCUAAUUGAUUAAUUAAAACCAAAUAGGUCUCAUUGUAAGAAGGCCCAAGAGUAAGCCAUGUGAGGUUGAUGGCGAUACUUUUACAAGCGAUCGACUUACAAAGGUGUGGAAAUGGUCUUGAUAUUGAAUCAAGAAUUGUGUGAUUUUGAAUGAUUUUAUCAUGGUUCUGAAUUAAUGAGGAAAUGGAAUGAAAUUGAAUAUGUAUUGUAAAAUGAUAGAAACCGAUCAAUUUUUAAUUAUCAAAGUUAAUUGAUUAAAAAUUUGGUUAAAUCACUUAAAUAAUAUAAUCAAAAUUAAUCAUCAAAAUUAUUUGAUUAAAUCAAAUAUUCAAGAUAAUUAAAAUUAAUUAUUAAAAAUAAUUAAUUUAAAUGAAUUUUAAUUAACUAACAUAUAUACUUAGAACAAAAUUGGUUUAAAAAUAAUUGAAACGAAUUAACAAACAAUGUGCUCAAAGUUAGUUUGUACAUAGCAACAAUGGUAUUGACGUGUCGUACGUAAUGGACCAAAACGCGGUGAAAUCGUAUUAAUGUAUCAGAAGUUUAGCAACAUAACGACAUAAAAUUUGCCGAAUCCGCGGUUCAAAGUCCGGAAAAAAAAUCCAUGCAACAUUCCAAUAUUAUUUAAUAUAUAUGCAUCUAGAUCAUCCUAUGUAAGAUAUGUUGAAAUUGUCUAAACUAAAUUUAAAUAAAUCUACUUAAUUAAAUCAAAGAAAAGAGUGAAUUAAACUUAAUCAAUCAAAUUAACCAUUAAGCAAAAUCACUUAACUUAUUUCAAUCAAACUUAAGCAAUCAAAUUAAACAUCAAGCAAAAUCAAUUAACUUGAAAUAAGGCUAACAUUUAAUAAUAAAAAAACAAUCAACCAUCUAAACAACCAGUUAAAUAUUAGAAAGAAGAAAACAAAGUGAUGUAGCUAAGAUAAAUGGGUUCAAACACUAGAUCCAAGUCAGCCCCAAAUUCCAAAUCAAUUUUCGGUACACACGCCACACAUCCUACUAGUGAUAAUCACAAAGAUAAAAAAAGAAUUGUAAAAGCUUCCUGGUAUGCAGUAUCAUGGAAAUUUGGUUUUCCAAACACACUUAAAUAUGACAAAUUCAUCAUUUUCAUAGACUAAUUAAAAGAGGUAAAAAGCCACCGUAAAACAAAAUCACAAUGUUGUAGCUUUCGGCUUUGCUUAUUAAUUCAAAAGAAACUAGUUCCUGAUGACUAGAAAUGUCAUACUCUUCUCAUUCAAUUAACUCCUGAAUCAACUAUAAUAGGAAACCAAAACUUUUCAAGACAUGGAUGACUUCAAUAACACUUAAAGCACAAACAGAAUGCAACAAAACUGCAAUAGAUAUUAUAGCAGCCCUAUAUAGCAAAGGCAAACUAGAAUAGUUCAUGUAUUUACAUAACUGCAACAGAAUUGAAACGAUUCGUAGUCGAAACACAUAAUACAUUGAAUAUGUAAUCCAAAUAAAUUGAGACCGACACAGAUGUUAUAAUAGUAACAAAAUAUAUCACCUAAGCAUGAUAACUUAAGAUUAUAUACAGGGUUGCUGCAAUAUCAACACAAAUAUAGCAUUCAGCCUGAAACGCAUUCCGACAUAAAAGUAUAUGGAUUUGAAACAGAUCUACACAACAUAGCUAAUACGGUAAGGGAAUCAUAUUGAAACAGAAACAAAUAUCAAAGCAAUACGAUAUAAAACUUGAUCGAAGUGUUACCGUAAUGUCGAAUUUGUUGUUGGAAGUAUCGAACUUGCCACCAUUGUGCGUGUCUUCUUGAUAGCGUUGGCUUUGUUCGCAGCAACUAUUGUCUUGCGUAGAGACGAAACCAAGUCUAUUCCAAAAGUGAGUUGAGCUUUGCGUUAUUGUGUUUGGACAUUCUCCGGAACCGUGCGAAAGAGUUGGCGGUGGUGACGGGAGUUGAGGCGGAGAAAAGGGUGUCGGCGUGUUCACGGUGAUGGUGGUCGCCGGCGAAACAGUUUAUAAAAAAGUUUGGGUUUGGACGUUGUUGUCGGAAGAUUUGGCGGAGGUGUGGAUGGAUGUUGUGGGUUUCACGGCGGAAAGAAACGAAAAUGAGUCGUGGAUGUUGAUGAUGGUUCAACGGUUCGAAUUUUGCAGAAGCAAUUUGUGGAUAAGAUGAGAGUAGAGAACUCUGAUGGAGGGAGUAUUUCGGCCGGUGGUUUGAAGCUCGACGAAGGGGAUACCAACGGUGAAGGUUACUGUUGUUGAAGGAAGAGAGAGGAAAGGGAUUUUUCUUUUUCUUUUUAAUGAGCUGAGAGAGUGAUGGAGGAGUGUGUGGUAUCCAAUGAGAGUUGUGAGUGAGUGCCUUUAAUGAGAGAGGAAAUGUGUAGGAAGUGUGAAGAGUGGCGUGUGAGAGGAGAGAAAGUGAGGAGCGGAAAUCUUAUGAGAAGAUUUUGGUGAGGUAACGUGUUAGGAGAAGAGAAAAAUGAUUUUCUUUUAAUUUUAUUUUCCUUUUCUUUUUAUUAAUAAUUCUAAUAUUAAAAAAGAAAAUAUUCAUUAUAAAUAGAAGUCGGAUGUGAAUUUGCUCGAAAAAUUAAAUAAGACACACUAAAAUGAUUAACAUAAAAUAUAUUUAUUGAAAAAAUACAGCGUUUCUUCAAAUUCUGAAAUAAGUUUGCACCGAUUAAAAGGCCCAGGCAGGUCAUAACGUAACUGAAACAACUUCUGAAAAUUACGACGAGCACACCAGGUUAAACUAUAUGAACGGAAGAUUAAUAAUACUGGUCUCUGUAAUUUUAAUUCUGAAACUUUUUACCCGCUGAUUUUACAUGUUCUUGAGAAAUGAUUUAACCAAUUUGUCUGUAUUUUCAAUAAAUUUAAAGACUGACUAUAAAAUCCAAAAUAAGUACUACUAAUGCAUGUCAUGCUGUGCGUAUGAUGCAAAUUAAAAAUGAAAUCAGAUUUACGAAAAUUUAAAUAUGGCCGGACAAAAUUGGGGUAUGACAGUUGUAUAUUAAAGCAAAAGAAAAUUAUAUUUAGUUAUGAUAUAGAGAAUACAAUAUAAGUUUGAUAUGUCGUGUAACCAAAAUGGGAAUCAAUGUGUGUGAAAUUUUUUUAAUGUACUUAAUAAAUACCCGCAGGUGCAAUAAAAGAAUUUGUUUGAAGACUACAUUUUUUGUGUAGUCACCAUCUUCUCCUUUCAAUUUUCCUUCCAUAGUUAAAACUCUUGUCGUAGUCUGUGAAACACCCCUGGAUAAAUCCACACAUAACUGUCCAUGACUAAAAAUAUGUCGUGGAAGAUAUAUUCCAACAUUUAGAAUUGUUUGUCCUUGUGAUUUAUUUAUUGUAAUUGCAAAACUUAGUCGCACAAGAAAUUGCUUUCUACUAAGGACAAAAGGCAAUUCAUCACUUGCAGAUGUUUUUAUUUUAAUUUUGGGAAAAAAACACAUUUUCCUGCGUUGUUUCCUGUCAAAAUUUCUACAUCCAACAUAUUCAUAAAUAAACCACGACAUAAUAACCAUGUCCCAUUACACAAUCCAUAUCUAGGAUCUAGAUUUUGUAACAACAUCAAUGGUGCACCCUUUUUUAUCUUUAGAAUAUGUGGUGGCAAACUACCUUGUGCAAUUGAGUUUAAGAAUUCUUGCUGGUAUAAAUUAUGAUUAUCUCUUUCAACCUCGUCAAACGACAACAAAUUAUGUUCUCCUGGAAACUGGUCGAUAAUCAUAUCAUUCAAUUUCUGGACAUCAUCAUUUGUUGGUGUCAAAAUAGCUCUUUGUACCAUAUAUGAGGCAUCCCAACCAUGCAAUUCUAAAUAAGGAAAAAUAUGUUGAAUAAGUACUUGUAUGAAAUGUUCACCUUCCCAUGGGAUUGCAAUAUGUGAAGCUAACCUCAUCAUAUCAUCUGGUUUGGUAGGUUCAACACCAUCACCAAUGCGAAUAAGAAAUUCUGCAAACUCUUGAUCAUGCAAUGAUCGCAUAUUUUGACGCAAACGCAAAAUCUUGGUAUGAUUCCAUAAAUGAGACUAGGUAGGUUCAACACCAUCACCAAUGCGAAUAAGAAAUUCUGCAAACUCUUGAUCAUGCAAUGAUCGCAUAUUUUGACGCAAACGCAAAAUCUUGGUAUGAUUCCAUAAAUGAGACUGAACAAUACACACUAAAAUCAUUUGUGCCUUAGUAUCUUUUCUUACAACAGGAAGAACUUGAUGAAAAUCUCCCCUCAUGAUUAUAACUUUUCCACCAAAUGGAGCAUUAUUUCUACAAAUGUCUUGUAAUGAUCGAUCUAAGGCUUCUAAGAUAUUUUUGCUUUUGAAUACUACAAAUGGAACUCGGUUGUAUAUUAAUAGAUAUCUUAAAUCAAGAGUGUGCAUUCCUACCACUGGGUAACAAUGUUGCAGCUAUACCAGAUGAUGCAGUUGCUAAGACAAUUUCUCCUCUACUUCUUAAACUUGCCAUUAAUAUUCGAUAAAGAAAUGUUUUACCUGUUCCUCCUAGACCAUCAACAAAAAAUACCCCAAUGUGUUUUUGAACAAUUACAUUCAUAAUGGUUUUGAAUGCAAUCAUUUGAUCAUUAUUUAACUUAGCAACAAAUUCAAUAUCUUCAUUAGGGAUAUCGACCACUAACUCCUCUUGUAUGAUACUUGGAAUUGCAUCUCUGUCUAUUGUACUAGGGGGUAAAAAUGGGAGAUCAUAAUCUUCAAUUUUUUUACCGUGCAGGUUUAGAGUUCAUUCAAGUCCUUCAACAACAUAUUAGUCAAGUUUGAUUCCACAACAUUCUUAGUUGUUUGAUAAUCCUCUGUCAUAUGUGUAAAAAACUCAUUCCAAAGGCCUCUAACAUCAGUAGGUUCAUAAAAUAUUAAAAUCUUCACGAAUAACCUUCGUAAAGCAUAUGGAAUUCGGAGACUCGUAGCAUCAACUAAACAAUCACGAAUACUAUGACCAGUCUCUAGAAAUUCCCUAUCCUCGGCUGAUUUUUUGAAUGUAUUGAAAGUCGUGCAAUUAAUUGUAAGAAGAUAUUCCUAACUGGUUGGACUUGUGACAUGAGAUAAAAAUAGUCGCAAGUAAAACUUAUCUCCCUCGGAAGGUGAUACCGUAUAGAUUCUCCCGAAAGCGUUUCUUGUUGACCGUCUGCGAUGCCAUUCCAUGUCCCGCUUGUUCCAACAAUAAUGCUCUGGAAUAUCUCUAUACAGAUAAUUUCUUGCUUGUGGAUCUCGUAGAUUCAAUGCAAAGAAUUGUGUGAGCAUUGUUUUGGAGUUGCGUUCAUUAUUUAAUACAUCUGCAAUUCGCUGAUGAUCAUAAAAGCGCACUUGAUGGCGGUUCGGCAAGUGGAUUUGAAAUCUUUCAACCUGUCAUACCCCAAAAUUUGCCCAUUAAUAUUUCAAGACAUUUUGCAAGGCAUUCCGACUCAUAUAUAACACUGAUCUUGAAGAAACAAAGGCCCAGCUCACGGAUGGCCCAAUCCAGAAAAUGGCCGCAAACUGGCCUGUUCGCUACGCGCGUCGCUAGCGAAGCUGACAGCAACAAAAAUUUCGGGCUUCAUUCUGAACAAAAAAAAAAAAAAAAAAAAAGAAAACUUUUUUUAAUUAAUUAAUUAAUAAUUAAUUAAAAUUAUUAAUUAAUAAAUAAUUAAAAUAAAUAAAUAAUAAAAUUAUAACAAUUAUUUCUGGACUUGGUCUCCUCAUUCCAAGCCAUUACCCACGAAAUUAGUCUAUAAAUACUGAAGUUUCAGUAGAGGAAAAAAACAUUGGAGUUACACUGGGAGAUUCACUGAAAAAAAGGGAGAGGAGAACAGAGAAGAACGAAGAAAGUUUGUGCAUAGGAACCUGCCUACCCCGGAGAAUUCAGAGUAAAGAACCCUGAAGGCAGCCCAUCUGCACGAAGCCAUCGCCGUCCAUUCCCGCUGCCUAACAUUCCGAUACUACAAGUGGUCAAUCCUUCAACUUGAAUUGGCCAAACAGGUUGCGUAUCUCUAUUGUUUAUCUUUCAAUUGGCCAUAUCUACAUAUAUAAUGCAUCAUGAUUAAUGUGAUAUAUAAUUUGCUUUCGUAUGGAAUUUAUAUGCCUGAAUACCCUGAAUUGAUCAUGUUAUCCUGUGAUAAAUGCCAUAAAUUCAAAGUUCCAACAUGGGGCUGUUUUCAAAUUCAAAAUCCGUGGCCGCUCGCGUAGCACCUCGCUAGCGAGCCUGGGGCGAGUAUUCGCCUGGCCUCGCUAGGCGGCAGAGGCGAACGAGACAGUAGCUGACUUUUCUAUUCUGUUUUUUUAUGUUUAUCAUAGCAUGCAUUAUUUCCUAUCCUAUUUAUUGUUGUGAUAUUUCUCCGGUGUAAUCUUCGAUUGCACCCUGAUUUGUGUUCUGACAUGUUUCUUUUUUGAGUUUCGUAAGGUUCACAUAUCCAGGAAAAGGUUAUUGGCUAGGUAUUCACUUUAUUGUGGGACCUUGUGAGUUUCACCCUAAAUUAAUUUUUAAUGUAUUAAUUUCUAAUGUAUAAUUUUUUAAUAUAUUAUUUUAAUAAUUUUAAUGUGGAGUUUCAUCUAUUAUAAUUAAUUGUAAACUUUGCCUUGAUAGUGAUCUUGGACCUCUCUUUGUUGCCUUACGAUUACGAUAUUACGGUCAUGUCCGCGGACGUGGGGAUACCUUAGCAAAGACCCUUCGGUUAAUCAUCAUAAAUAAUUAUAGUCCUCGGAUGUGCCUUCGAAUAUACAACUUUGUCCCGAUGACCCUCCGAUGUUGCCUACGGUUAAGAGAUGAUAGUCCCUUCGAGAGCUAAGGUAUCUCUGUAACUGUUGCCUUCAAUGACCAAUCGAUGACCCUCACGAUGACCCUUUUUACUCAAAGGAUAAACUACUUAUUUCUCAAUAAUAGGAAGUUUACCCUCAUAAGGAUAGGAAAUACUCAUAAGACCUGGUCGGUAUAACUCUUAAUUGCUGCGCUCACAACCUAAAACAUUUUUUCACACCUCAACACUUCAAAAUCCUCAGAAAAUCACACUUGGUAUAUCAUCAUACUAGAAUCAUUACCGAGUUAUAUUUUUCUAAACAAUUUUCAAACUAACGAAGAUAAUCACUUUGUAUACAUUCAUACAAGAAUCAUUACAAGUUAAAUUCUCUUUUCAAAAUUUUCUAACCAAUUCACAAACACUUUUUUUUUCAAAAAAUAUAAGUGAUCGAGCAAUUAGAGCCAUGGAUAACCAUGGAUCAAAGGGUGCUAACACCUCCCUUGUAUAAUGUACUGCCAACCAAAAUCUAAAUAAGGUCUUUCCUGUUCUUUUCCACCUUUCCUUAUUGGAUAAAAGAAAAGUCGGUGGCGACUCUUGCUAACCGCGACAUUGCGAUAAAAAACACAAAAAGUCCAGUUCACCGUAUGACACAACCGAAGGAUAUAAUCAGUAAAGAGUGAAUCGAAAUAUUUUCCAUAAUGACUCAGGAGCACAAAUCUAUCUUGUAUCAACAUAUUGCUGAACUUCAUCCAUGUAUGAUCCUUUAUGAACCUCCAUAGCCACACGAUCAGAGCCCUUGUACACAUAUUUGUAUAGAUACUUGAUACUUUUAAUGCUACUGCAAAUCUCUACAUUGAUGUGACAGUCAUACUUUAAAAGUAACCAAGGGUUAUAAGGAACCACCCAUUUAUUAUCGACAGAUCUAUCUCUAGCUAACGAUAUAGAUUCAUCAAACCUUCUCCUAUACUCGGGAUAUGAGUCAGUGCCUUGACGUAUUUCAUCCAAGAAUUAUUUGGGAUACCUUUUCUUACAAUGUUCGUCUUUCAUACAUGGAGACUUUCGGUUGAUUAUGCUGCAAGGUCCGUGGAUCAUAUGUUUCACAACAACUUCAUGCAACUGUGGUUCACAUUCUAAUUUAGGUAUUUAUGCUCUUACCAUACUAUCGUAAUCUUUUGGGUCACGCAAAUCGUUACUUUCUAAGACCAAUAACAUAUGCACAUGCGGCAGUCCUCGCUUUUGAAAUUCAGUGACAUACAUGUAGCUUUUAACUUUUCCCAAGACUCCUUUAUUAAUAACAUCAUCCUUCAAUUGCUCGAAUUUCGAACGAAAUAUUCUUGUUAGCAAAUCUGGACGAUCUUGUGGUGUUUGAAAAGAUAAAAGUUCUGAUGUUGUCUCACUCCAAGAAGGAUUGCAUGUCAUUGUUAUAAAAAUAUCUGGUUUACCGCCAUUAAGAAUAAUAGUUAUGCCAUCUUCAUAACAUUGUGUCAUGUCUCGACGACCGCAAAUAAAUGAUAAUGGCAAAAUUUUUAUUUUUCCAAUAUUUUCUACGAUGAUUCAUGAAAUGCAUUGGUAUUAGAAUAUAUGAAUGAUUAGCAUUAUAAGUACAACUAAUAGUUAAUAAAAAACUGUAUAUGUAUGCUAUAUGAAUUUGUACCUGCAUUAGUUUCAUCAACAUGCAAAGCAUCCUGUAAACCUUGGUACAAUUCAGCACAUAUAUCACUUUGGUUCUCUUUAAUCCACCUUAACCUCCCAGAUUCAAUUUUGGCAUAAUUGUCUAUAACAUAUUGUUGUAAUAGUCGACCCGCAUUUAACAACAUUGAUUGAUCAUUUGGACGAAUCUACAAUUGAUUGAAAAAAAUGUCGGUGCUAAAUAUAAAGUUUUUUAAACAAUGCUUAGCCAAGUAUACUAUCUACUAAAAUUAAUCUAAACUUAUCUGAAGCAUGUAACUGUAAUACGCUCGACAUGACACUCUUCGUCCAUUACAAUUUGUUGUGUUGACGUCCCAACCAUGCAUCCCAAAUGGAAAUAAUUUAGGAUAUUGCAAAGGAUCAUAAUAUCCCUUUGUCUCUUGAACUUUUUUGAGAUUUCCAUUAUGACGGAUGACAUUAAUAUCCCUUCCAUAUUCCAUAGAAUUUGCAUCACAUCCAACAAUAAUUGUCGCAACUUGUUCUGCAGUUGGAAGGUUGUAUUGAUGGUGAUUACUUGGACACUCCUUAAGUAUGAGGCUAUAUUCACUAAUAUUUGGAAGUAGUGACAGUUGCUCGAACCUAAUUACAAAAUAAUUUAAACUGAUGGAGCAUUUUCUGUAAUUUAUGAACUACAUUUUGGUGCAGCUGUGGAUUUUCCUGCAUUCUAUUAUGUAGCUCAUUAUUGGUGUCGUAGAUGUAUAGUUGUAAGAAACACGGUCUGGCACCCUCAUUUGGAUAGAAACCUCAUAUGUUAUGGUAAAAAACACCUUGAGCACGAAAUGUGUAUAUACCACGACCAGAUGCAAGAAUAUUCUCAUCAACAUGAACACCAAUUGAAGUGAAUGAGAGCACAUGGUUAUAACUUCGAAAAUGUUGCCUAUAAUGUUUUCCUUCAGCUGAAUUAUCCAAAAAUAAUUGUUGCAAUCCUGUAGGAGCAUUAACUCGUAAAAAUGAUAUCUUUCCACCAGUAUAGCACGUGUCAUGUGAUUCAUGAUGAAACAAUCUUGCAUUGCAGUGUCUACAGGUAAUUGGAUGAGGCAACCGAUAUUUUGCCAUCGUCAUGUUAUUUUUGAAAUUUCGAGCAAGAUUGUGCUUUGCUCGAAAAACAUGUCCUGAUUCUAUAGGCAGGAGUUUGAUAUUGAUUACUAAAUAUUUUUUAAAAUCUAAAAUACAAUCUAUUACUUACUAUCUACAAAAAGGACAAGGAAUUUUGGACUGACUUUUUUUAUUCCAAUAUUGCCAUUCCUUUCAUAACUGCACAUUUUUAUUUAUUUUUUAUUUAUCCAUUAAUUUUAAUAUUUAUUUAUUUUAAAACAUGUAAGUUACUAAAAAGAAUUGAAUUGUGUAUAGAAAAGUUAAGCAAUUGUUGAUUUAAGAAGUUCAUUUAAAACUACAUAUAUAACCGUUUUAGUGAUUUGUCUUUUUUUUUCUUUUAAAUUCUCAAAACAAUGAACUAAUAUGUAAAAUGGCACCGCCUGACUUUGUAAAACGUAUAAGGCAAUUGUCAGCACCGUAGUAUAUGUUCUUAAUUCUUUGUUUUGUGUUCAAAUAUUAGGUCAUUGGUAGUUUUUCAUUUGGAAUUUUUGACGUUUAUGAAACAUUUUUUUGACCUUUGUUACAACUUAUGAAACACUAAUUCAAACCAAGCAGAUGUGACGAGGGAAAAGUGAAGUUUAUUUUGUUUCUCUGACCAAGAAGUUACAUAGAAGUUAUUGAUGUCACAUUGAAUAAGAUUAGUUUAUACCUCUAUUUUCUCUCUCUAUAAUUCUCUUUAUUCUUUAAUCUCUAUUUUAUUAUUUUCUAUAAUUCUCUUUAUUCUUUAAUCUCUAUUUUAUUAUUUUCUUUAAUCUUUAUUUCAUCUGGUGGAAGGUAUCUUAUUCAUUAUCGUGCUUUUAUCAUUUUCAAUAUCUUUUAUUUUUUUAACACAUAAUCACAAAAGGUUGAUAGACGUUCACUUCGGAUGCAUUAUUAUUCUAGUUUUCAAUCAACAUAAGAAAAAGUAAAUCAAUAAUUUUAUGUUAAUUUUCAUAAUAUUUUUGAAGGAGAUAUAUAUGGAGAAGGAAAAGGGAGAAGAAGAGAAAACACCAUUUCAACCAAGACGUAUGUUUUAGCCACAACUUUAGUAAUGAUACAACUUUUGAUUUGGUAUGUUAUGAUUGAAAUUUAAAAUUUAUUGAUUAAUUUUGUUGGUUAAUGUGCUUUUGUGACAAAAUUACUGCACUUUAUAACUAUAGAAUUCUAACACUGAGUUCAAUUAUUUUUUUGUUUUGUUAUUCAAACUUACCUUUUAUAUUUCUAAAUUUAUAAUUUAUAUUUGAUAGAUUUAAAUGAUUCUGUUUCUUCAAGAUAAUUUUAAAUUUAUAAAAGAAGAUAUUUUUUGUAUAUUUUUUUCACUCCUUGCUUUUAUCACGUGUCUUAAAUUUGGUUCUAUAUCUCGAAAGAAAAUAAUGACUUAUUUAUGUAUGUUUUUAUUAACUAUAUUUUUUUUAUUUUGUUUUUAUUGCUUCUUUCUUAAGUAGAAAAAGAAGAGGAAUGGAGUCCAAUGAUGCUAUCCAUAUGGGAAAACAAAUGGGAUAUGAUAGAUCAAUAAAAGACAGAUAAAUUUAUGAUGAUAAAUAAAUGAAUAAAGAUAAAUUGUUGAGUAUAUUUAAAAAGUGUAAAAGAGACAUUUUUCAUAAUUUUAUUUCAGCAAUUCAUUGAAUAUUUCUACACUGUAGACAAAUUUUUAUUUAUUAAAAAAUGAUGAUACUAAUUACUAUUUUUUAUCUAUAGAAUAUAUACAGGGGAUAUCCCUUUUUAGUGUGACUUAUUUUUUUUUCAUUUCGUUUUUACCCUUUAAAAACUGCCAAGGAGUUAUUAUAAGCAACAAUAACCUAUUUAUUUAUAAUUGCUCUGUCUUUGUGUUAAAGAGCAGGUAAACUUGGAAAUAUAAUCCGAAUGACGAACAUAGAUAGAGAAUAACCAAUAGAUGAGAAUAUAAUAUUUGUUGUCUCUGUGUUUAAACUUUUACCAUUAAAUUCAUUGUGAUUGGAAAUUAAAUUUUUACUUUACUCAAAUGCAGAGGAGAGAUAUACUCAUUAUCAUAUUCUUUAUUAAUUGAUUUUUAUGUAGAAUUGAAUCUUUUAAUGUAAUAUAUAAUGUACAUAUUGAUCAUCACCAACCAAGUGCAACAUCAUUAACAUGUGUAAUUCUACUUGGACCGACUUCAGUAUCAUGAGUUCUUUGAAAGUGUGAUUUUGGAAAAGUCAUAUUUGUAAAAUUUUAAAAUGGAAUUCUCGACUGAUUGUUUAUAGCACGAGAUGUUUAAGGUUGUUUAUCUUGCUCUUUCCGCCGCCUAUAAUUUUCACGUCGUCUCGACAAAUAGUGGUUUUCUCUCUGCUCGUUGCUCAUAUUUUGUCUCCUCUUCCUUUCAUUUUCCACCCUUCUUGAUCUUUGUUGUUGACUUGAUAUUUGACGGGUAUUAUUUUUUAUUUUAUUAAUGUAACUGCCAAACACGUAUGUAAUUUGUGAGUACGAUAGAUAAGAAAAAUUGAACAUAUAAUAGAAACAAACAAUUCAACAAUUAUAUCAUCAAAUAAUUCAUCAUUGAACUUAAAUUGAAAUCAAAAGAAAAAAAAGAAAACAUAUACAUGAAUGUUCGACAAUCAUUAAUGAUGAGUUUGUUUCUUCUUAAACAAUCGUGUAACUUAAAUAUCCUGAAGUUAAAAAUCAGAGUAAAAACUAUAAUUGGAUAUUAUUGUUCCUAACAUGUAUAAAAUUGGAAAGAAAAGAAAGAAUCAAACAUGAGUCGAACUUUCAUAAUGUCAACAACAACAUGGACAUCAUCUUCUCCCAAUAUGAGUAUGUUGAGGUUGCUCACCAGAGACUCCAUCUAUCUUGAUAGAAACUUCAUUGUCGCUGCCACUGGAAAAAUUAAAAAGUCAAUUCAACUAAUACCAUAAAAACGAAGUCUAACUAAUAAUUUCAUAAAUUUUAAUAAUAAUUAUUUUCAAAGUAAAAGAAAAUAGAUUAGUUAAAAAAGGAAAAAAAGAAAGCAAAUUAAAGAACAACUUAAAGGGAGACUUGUGAAGAAUAGGGAGAGAAGAAAAGUUAAUGAGAUAUAUUGAGAGAAUAAAAAUAUGGAUAUAAGAUGGUGAUGAAGGCAGUUAUGCUACAUAAAUUAAGGUUUAGAAAUACGAAACUCACAAAAUUGCAAGGUUGGUUGAAAGUUGAAAUGAAAGAAAGACGGUAGAACAAAUCACAUAUUAAUGUAUGGUUAUCUAUUGCUCCAUUUUGUUUUGUAUCCUUUUUUUCACGUAUGCGUCUCGGAUGUUGUGUCUAGAAAACAAACACGGUGAGAAAGUGUGAAGGUAAAACAUAAAUGUAAAAACAGAAAAAGGAUAAUUAAUAAGAAAAAAUUGGAAUAAUGCCCCGUUUCUAAAACUGCUCCAACAUUUUUUUUUUCAAUAAGAAUUUGUUAAGGAUAGAAAUUUCCAUGUAUUAGUUAUUUAAUUAAUGCUAUGAUGAGAAGUUGACAAUGAAAGAGUAUUUGUGUAAAAAGAAAUAGUUACUUCAGGGGAAGAUGUGGGAAAUAUUAAGGCCAACCCAAAAUUUCCUAUUCUUUCUAUAUAUAAUAAUAGAUUAUAUUAAGUUUAAUAAUAUCAAUAUGUUCAGGGGCGGUGUUAAUAUGUUCAGGGGCGGUGUUGUAGAGGUCCGAGGAGUGCUACCGCACAGGACCUCCGACUUUUUAGGGUCCCAAAUUUGAUCGAUAGGGUCAAUAUAAAUAUAAGACUAACGAAUAUAUAAAUCACUAAUUCCAAUUUAAUAUAUGAUUGUAGUGUAGCCUAGCGGUGAACAUACUGUUUUGGUAGUAAUACAACCUGUGUUUGAUUCCUUGUUCUUACAGCAACCGAUAAUCUAAAUAACUUACAUUUAAAUUUAUUUAAAAUUUAAUAUCGCAAUUAACCUAAUUAAUUUUUUUUCUUUUAUUAAUACGUUUUAUAGAUCUAUGAAAAAUGUUGAGAUGUAAUUUUGAAAAUAUUUAUAUUUUUGUAUCAUUGUAAAUCAUUACAUUAAUAAAUUUGAAAUAGUAGUUAUGAAACUUUUAUUAAAUGAUAUGUAUUUUUUUUAUAAAUCGAAGAUGGUAAGAGAAGAAAGACGCGAAUAACUAAACUUCGACCUAGUAUUUUUUAUCAUCUUUGUUUCUAUAUAUUUAAUUUUAUUUAAAAUUAAAUAAAAUAUAUUUUUUUAAUUUGUUAUGUUUUUAUCUAUUAAAUAUCUAAUUUUAAAAUAGAACGGGGCCUCCAAAUUGAUUGGGACGGGCAUGAAUAUGUUUAUAAUUUUAUUAUUUUCCUUAAUUGAAAAUCUUAAAAUUUAAAAUAGAAAAUCAAACUAAAGAAAAAAAUUACAAACUUAUUAAAAUCGAGGACGCCUAUGUCUAACAAAAACAAAAAAUGAUUAGCUGGCGAAACUGAUACACAAGAUUUGGCAAAUAUCCGACAAAAAUGAAUAAAUAUUGUAUAUAACAUUAUCCAUUAUUAAAGUAUUAUCGCCACAUUAAAUUAUCUUAACAUCCACUUCAAUACGUGCUUCCAAACUUUCUUCACAUUUUCUCUCGGAAAGAAUCGAUCAUGGAAGGAAUAGAACACAGAACAGUUGAAGUUAAUGGAAUCAAGAUGCAUAUCGCAGAAAAAGGCAAAGAAGGACCGGUUGUUUUGUUCCUUCACGGCUUCCCUGAACUCUGGUGCUCAUGGCGUCACCAGAUUGCUGCUCUCGGCUCUCUCGGUUACCGUGCCGUGGCUCCCGAUCUACGAGGCUACGGCGACACCGAUGCUCCAGCUUCAAUAAGUAGCUACACAGGAUUUCAUAUAGUAGGGGACCUUGUUGCUCUCAUCGAUUUACUCGGCGUUGAACAAGUAUUCCUUGUUGCUCAUGAUUGGGGUGCUCUCAUUGGAUGGUAUUUAUGCAUGUUUCGACCUGAAAGAAUCAAAGCCUAUGUGUGUCUCAGUGUUCCCUUCCUCCGUAGAGACCCCAAAAUCAGAACCGUUGAUGGCAUGCAUGCUGCUUAUGGAGAUGAUUAUUAUAUCUCCAGAUUUCAGGUCCUUUCCAUUUCUUUGUUUAUAUAAAAUGAAGUGAGAAGUUGCUGUAAUGAUCGAUCUAUUUGUCAUAAUUGUUUUUGAUCCAUAUCACAGGAACCUGGCAAAAUGGAAGCUCAGAUGGCUGAAGUUGGCACUGCAUAUGUGAUGAAAAAUAUCCUCACAACUCGCCAAACUGGUCCUCCCAUUCUUCCAAAGGGAGAGUAUGGAACUGGGUUCAACCCCGAUACCCCUGACACUCUGCCCUCUUGGCUCACAGAAGACGAUCUUGCUUAUUUUGUCUCCAAAUUUGAGAAAACGGGCUUUGCUGGAGGAUUGAACUACUAUAGAAACUUUAACUUGUAAUGUUUUGAUUCUCAAAUUUCUGUUAAUAGUUCAUAGCUAGUGAUCACAAUUCUAAUGAGACAAAUUAUUUCUUGUAUUACAGAAAUUGGGAGCUGAUGGCACCAUGGAAUGGAAUGAAAAUCAUGGUACCUGUCAAAUUCAUUACAGGUGAAUUAGACCUGGUAUACACCUCGCUUAACAUGAAGGAGUAUGUACAUGGUGGAGGUUUCAAAGAAGAUGUGCCCAAUUUAGAGGAAGUGAUUGUGCAGAAAGGGGUGG